UCCUACGGGAGGCAGCAGUGAGGAAUAUUGGUCAAUGGUCGGGAGACUGAACCAGCCAAGCCGCGUGAGGGAUGAAGGUACAGAGUAUCGUAAACCUCUUUUGUCAGGGAACAAAGGCGGGGACGUGUCCCCGGAUGAGUGUACCUGAAGAAAAAGCAUCGGCUAACUCCGUGCCAGCAGCCGCGGUAAUACGGAGGAUGCGAGCGUUAUCCGGAUUUAUUGGGUUUAAAGGGUGCGCAGGCGGUCUGCUAAGUCAGCGGUCAAAGCCCGGGGCUCAACCCCGGCCCGCCGUUGAAACUGGCAGU
rnacentral:rRNA from 1 species